rnacentral:rRNA from 1 species
UACCCGUAAAACGGUGGGUAGACGGUUUACACCCACCCGUGUCUAUAUACUCUUGUUGCUUUGGCGGGCCGUGGCCUCCACUGCGGGCUCUGCUCGUGUGUGCCCGCCAGAGAACCAAACUCUGAAUGUUAGUGAUGUCUGAGUACUAUAUAAUAGUUAAAACUUUCAACAACGGAUCUCUUGGUUCUGGCAUCGAUGAAGAACGCAGCGAAAUGCGAUAAGUAAUGUGAAUUGCAGAAUUCAGUGAAUCAUCGAAUCUUUGAACGCACAUUGCGCCCUGUGGUAUUCCGCAGGGCAUGCCUGUUCGAGCGUCAUUUAACCACUCAAGCCUAGCUUGGUAUUGGGGCACGUGGUUCCGCGGCCCUCAAAAUCAGUGGCGGCGCCGGUGGGCUCUAAGCGUAGUACAUACUCCCGCUAUAGAGUUCCCCCGGUCGCUCGUUAGAACCCCCUCAUUUUUACAGGUUGACCUCGGAUCAUG